NAUGUCUCUGCGGGAGAGACUAACUUUAGCGCCGAAGGAGCAACCGCCCUCGGAAACUCUCAGGCAAAAGGACCGCAGAAAUAUU
rnacentral:ncRNA from 2 species